CAGUGUAUGCAGAAUUUAAUGCAAUGGGUGCAGAAUUUAAUGCAGGGGGUGCAGGGUUUAUUGGAGUGGGUGCAGGGCUUAAUGCAUUGGGGCAGAAUUUAAUGCAGUGGGUGCAGAGUUUAAUGCAGUGGGUGCAGAGUUUAAUGCAGGGGCGCAGGGUUUAAUGCAGUGGGUGCACAAGGUAAUGCAGGGGGUGCAAGGUUUAAUGCAGUGGGUACAGAGUUUAAUGCAGGGGGUGCAGGGUUUAAUGCAGUGGGUGCCGAGUUUAAUGCAGGGGGUGCAGGGGUUAAUGCAGUGGGUGCAGAGUUUAAUGCAGUAGGUGCACAGGGUAAUGUAGUGGGUGCAGAGUUUAAUG